rnacentral:rRNA from 1 species
GAUGAACGCUGGCGGCGUGCCUAACACAUGCAAGUCGAGCGAUCUUCUUCGGAAGAGAGCGGCGGACGGGUGAGUAACGCGUGGGUAACCUGCCCUGUACACACGGAUAACAUACCGAAAGGUAUGCUAAUACGGGAUAAUAUGCUUUUAUCGCAUGGUAGAAGUAUCAAAGCUCCGGCGGUACAGGAUGGACCCGCGUCUGAUUAGCUAGUUGGUAAGGUAACGGCUUACCAAGGCGACGAUCAGUAGCCGACCUGAGAGGGUGAUCGGCCACAUUGGAACUGAGACACGGUCCAAACUCCUACGGGAGGCAGCAGUGGGGAAUAUUGCACAAUGGGCGAAAGCCUGAUGCAGCAACGCCGCGUGAGCGAUGAAGG